AUUUAGAGUUGUCAUUAUUUAACUUUUUGAUAUGACGUUUUUUUCAAUUUAAAUUUUUUGUCAAUUUUUUUUAUGUCACAUUUUGACAUAUUCUCAAUUUUUGACUUGUAAUCAUUUUACAAGUCCGCUGGGAGCUUAUCUCAUAAUAGUGACUGUUAUAAUUUAGAUUCGUCAUAAUUUAAAUGUUUUUGUUAUAAUGAAGUUUUGUCAGUUUUGAAUUUUUAAUGUCAGAAUUGACUUAGUAUCUUAUCAUUUUUACUCAGUCAUUUUUUUAUUUCAUAAUUCUGAGGGGAAAAAAAUGCAUUCGAUUUUUUUUUUUUUUAUAAUAAUAAAAUUUGACAAUGACUUUUAUUUAUUCUGUUUUACCAAAAGCAUGUUUUUUUUUUUUUUUUUUUUUAUGUGGCAGAAAUGGGCUUCCAUAUUAUAAGACCAGGAACAUGCACUAAGGAAGCAAACAGGGUCGUUUUGUUUUCUUCUCAGCUCAAAUAUAAAAUUCCCAUUUGCAGGAAAUAACAAAAGUCUUUAGCAAGACCUAAAGUUAAACUCCUAAAUGUGUUUACAGGCGGAACAGAGCGUUUACAGUUAAUGACGGUCUGUGCAUUCUGCAUAAAUCCGUGGCACUAGAGGCUGGUGUUGGUGUGCUUGUAAAUGUGAAACACAGGGCUCAUUAUCUGCAGUUUCACCGCCUGCAGCCGCUGCCACCCCACUACCACGAAAAAAGGCCUCUAACCAACUGUCAUUUCCCACAAUCCAACAGAUCAGAGGAGCUGUGCGCAAAAUAAAAGACAAAUUAACGAGCAAAACAAGACAACAGCAAAGCCCCUCUGUAAGGCUGAAGAGCAGCAGUGCAGUGAGUGUCUCUGUCUGCUGGAAAUGCAGUGCCAACUAUGCAACGUGUGCUUCUGUGCAAACCACUGGCAGAUGUGCAUCGUUACGACUCGCGUGUACAGAGAGAGUUUAAUCCACAGAAUAAAGCUUCAUUAAAAAUCAAAAACAAAUGCUAUUAUGUCUGCAGCCAGUUUCUGUAUAAAAUGUAUGUAAAGGUUUUUUUAAAUAAAUUAUAUUUUUAAUCAACG
ensembl:lncRNA